rnacentral:rRNA from 1 species
UUAGCGGAGAGUUUGAUCCUGGCUCAGGAUGAACGCUGGCGGCGUGCUUAAUACAUGCAAGUCGAACGGAGACUGUAGCAAUACUGUCUUAGUGGCGAACGGGUGAGUAACGCGUUGGUGACCUGCCCCGAAGAGGGGGAUAACAGUCCGAAAGGAUUGCUAAUACCCCAUGUGGUCGUUUGGAUUAGAUGCCUUAUGACUAAACGGAUUUAUUCGCUUCGGGAGGGGCCUGCGUCCCAUCAGCUAGUUGGUGAGGUAAUAGCUUACCAAGGCGAUGACGGGUAGGGGACCUGAGAGGGUGGCCCCCCACAAUGGAACUGAAACACGGUCCAUACACCUACGGGUGGCAGCAGUAGGGAAUAUUGGUAAUCUGGGAAACCGGGAACCAGCA